AACGAACGCUGGCGGCAGGCUUAACACAUGCAAGUCGAGCGAUCCCUUCGGGGAUAGCGGCGGACGGGUGAGUAACGCGUGGGAACGUGCCCCUUUCUUCGGAAUAGCCUCGGGAAACUGGGAGUAAUGCCGGAUACGCCCUGCCAUGGAGACAUGGUGGGGGAAAGAUUUAUCGGAGAGGGAUCGGCCCGCGUUGGAUUAGGUAGUUGGUGGGGUAACGGCCUACCAAGCCGACGAUCCAUAGCUGGUUUGAGAGGAUGAUCAGCCACACUGGGACUGAGACACGGCCCAGACUCCUACGGGAGGCUG
rnacentral:rRNA from 1 species